AUUGAACGCUGGCGGCGGGCUUAACACAUGCAAGUCGAGCGGGGGAGGUUGCUUCGGUAACUGACCUAGCGGCGGACGGGUGAGUAAUGCUUAGGAAUCUGCCAUUUAGUGGGGGACAACAUUCCGAAAGGAAUGCUAAUACCGCAUACGUCCUACGGGAGAAAGCAGGGGAUCUUCGGACCUUGCGCUAAAUGAUGAGCCUAAGUCGGAUUAGCUAGUGGGUGGGGUAAAGGCCUACCAAGGCGACGAUCUGUAGCGGGUCUGAGAGGAUGAUCCGCGACACUGGGACUGGAACACGGCCCAGACUCCUACGGGAGGCAGCAGUGGGGAAUAUUGGACAAUGGGCGGAAGCCUGAUCCAGCCAUGCCGCGUGUGUGAAGAAGGCCUUAUGGUUGUAAAGCACUUUAAGCGAGGAGGAGGCUACCAGUAUUAAUACUACUGGAUAGUGGACGUUACUCGCAGAAUAAGCACCGGCUAACUCUGUGCCAGCAGCCGCAGUAAAAC
rnacentral:rRNA from 1 species